GAUGAACGCUGGCGGCGUGCCUAAUACAUGCAAGUCGAGCGAACGGACGAGAAGCUUGCUUCUCUGAUGUUAGCGGCGGACGGGUGAGUAACACGUGGAUAACCUACCUAUAAGACUGGGAUAACUUCGGGAAACCGGAGCUAAUACCGGAGAAUAUUUUGAACCGCAUGGUUCAAAAGUGAAAGACGGUGUUGCUGUCACUUAUAGAUGGAUCCGAGCUGCAUUAGCUAGUUGGUAAGGUAACGGCUUACCAAGGCAACGAGGCAUAGCCGACGUGAGAGGGUGAUCGGCCACACGGGAACUGAGACGGGGUCCAGAGUCCUACGGGAGGCAGCAGUAGGGAAUCUUCCGCAAUGGUCGAAAGCCUGACGGAGCAACGCCGCGUGAGUGAUGAAGGUCUUCGGAUCGUAAAACUCUGUUAUUAGUGAAGAACAGAUGUGUAAGUAACUGUGCACAUCUUGACGGUACCUAGUCAGAAAGCCACGGCUAACUACGUG
rnacentral:rRNA from 1 species